CUCUUAUUCAGAACCACUAGAUGGAAGGAAUCGAUGACGUGGUAGCAACCCUUGAAAAAGUAGGUGCUUUAUCCUCAGCGAAGGAAACUUCGAACGAUAAGAG
rnacentral:ncRNA from 2 species